CACUAGAGAAUUGGAGGGUCAUCCGUGAUGUAGUUUACAAGUUUUCUCUAUCAACUAAUGUAAAGAAGCUAGAGGAGUCGGGCUCCAAUUUCCGAUAAAGGGACACUUUGAACUCCUACAUUUGGAUAACUUUGCUAAAAGUGGCAUCGCUUCUCAUAUUUAUAUAAGUGAAGUUCCUACCUAAUAUCUCUUUUUUUUUUU
rnacentral:lncRNA from 1 species